GUGGGGAAUAUUGGACAAUGGGCGCAAGCCUGAUCCAGCAAUGCCGCGUGGGUGAAGAAGGUCUUCGGAUCGUAAGGCCCUUUCGACAGGGACGAUGAUGACGGUACCUGUAGAAGAAGCCCCGGCUAACUUCGUGCCAGCAGCCGCGGUAAUACGAAGGGGGCUAGCGUUACUCGGAAUUACUGGGCGUAAAGGGCGCGUAGGCGGCUCUGUUAGUCAGGCGUGAAAUUCCUGGGCUUAACCUGGGGACUGCGCUUGAUACUGCAGAGCUAGAGGCCGACAGAGGGUGGUGGAAUUCCCAGUGUAGAGGUGAAAUUCGUAGAUAUUAGGAAGAACCCCGGUGGCGAAGGCGACCACCUGGCUCGGUUCUGACGCUGAGGCGCGACAGCGUGGGGAGCAAACAGGAUUAGAUACCCCUGUAGUCC
rnacentral:rRNA from 1 species